UACGGAGUGUGCAAGCGUUACUCGGAAUCACUGGGCGUAAAGGGCGCGUAGGCGGGAUGGCAAGUCGGUCGUGAAAUCCUUCGGCUCAACCGAAGAACGUCGGCCGAUACUGCCGUUCUUGAGGGAUGCAGAGGAGAUUGGAAUUCCCGGUGUAGCGGUGAAAUGUGUAGAGAUCGGGAGGAACACCGGUGGCGAAGGCGGGUCUCUGGGCAUCUCCUGACGCUGAGGCGCGAAAGCGUGGGGAGCAAACGGG
rnacentral:rRNA from 1 species